AUCGGAGACACUCGAGUGGCGAACGGGUGAGUAACACGUGGGCAAUCUGCCCUGCACACCGGGAUAAGCCUGGGAAACUGGGUCUAAUACCGGAUAGGACCACUUGGCGCAUGCCUUGUGGUGGAAAGCUUUUGCGGUGUGGGAUGGGCCCGCGGCCUAUCAGCUUGUUGGUGGGGUGACGGCCUACCAAGGCGACGACGGGUAGCCGGCCUGAGAGGGUGUCCGGCCACACUGGGACUGAGAUACGGCCCAGACUCCUACGGGAGGCAGCAGUGGGGAAUAUUGCACAAUGGGCGCAAGCCUGAUGCAGCGACGCCGCGUGGGGGAUGACGGCCUUUCGGGUUGUAAACCUCUUUCACCAUCGACGAAGGUCCGGGUUCUCUCGGAUUGACGGUAGGUGGAGAAGAAGCACCGGCCAACUACGUGCCAGCAGCCGCGGUAAUACGUAGGGUGCGAGCGUUGUCCGGAAUUACUGGGCGUAAAGAGCUCGUAGGUGGUUUGUCGCGUUGUUCGUGAAAUCUCACGGCUUAACUGUGAGCGUGCGGGCGAUACGGGCAGACUAGAGUACUGCAGGGGAGACUGGAAUUCCUGGUGUAGCGGUGGAAUGCGCAGAUAUCAGGAGGAACACCGGUGGCGAAGGCGGGUCUCUGGGCAGUAACUGACGCUGAGGAGCGAAAGCGUGGGGAGCGAACAGGAUUAGAUACCCUGGUAGUCCACGCCGUAAACGGUGGGUACUAGGUGUGGGUUUCCUUCCUUGGGAUCCGUGCCGUAGCUAACGCAUUAAGUACCCCGCCUGGGGAGUACGGCCGCAAGGCUAAAACUCAAAGGAAUUGACGGGGGCCCGCACAAGCGGCGGAGCAUGUGGAUUAAUUCGAUGCAACGCGAAGAACCUUACCUGGGUUUGACAUGCACAGGACGCGUCUAGAGAUAGGCGUUCCCUUGUGGCCUGUGUGCAGGUGGUGCAUGGCUGUCGUCAGCUCGUGUCGUGAGAUGUUGGGUUAAGUCCCGCAACGAGCGCAACCCUUGUCUCAUGUUGCCAGCGGGUAAUGCCGGGGACUCGUGAGAGACUGCCGGGGUCAACUCGGAGGAAGGUGGGGGAUGACGUCAAGUCAUCAUGCCCCUUAUGUCCAGGGCUUCACACAUGCUACAAUGGCCGGUACAAAGGGCUGCGAUGCCGCGAGGUUAAGCGAAUCCUUUUAAAGCCGGUCUCAGUUCGGAUCGGGGUCUGCAACUCGACCCCGUGAAGUCGGAGUCGCUAGUAAUCGCAGAUCAGCAACGCUGCGGUGAAUACGUUCCCGGGCCUUGUACACACCGCCCGUCACGUCAUGAAAGUCGGUAACACCCGAAGCCANUGGCCUAACCCUC
rnacentral:rRNA from 1 species